UCCCGCCGCUCUCCCCCCGCUCUCCCCCCGCCUUCUUCAUCCCUGCUCCCCUUCACCCUGGGGAAAUGGAGGAAAACACAAAAACAUUGGGGAAGAACAGUCAGCCGAACCGCCUGAGCCAUCCUCCUGCCCGCAGGGCGGCAGCUGCCCGCAACCAGGAGCACCCAGCAGGAGGAGGCAGCUGCUCUCUUUGCCGGGAGGACAGGGAGAUCCACUGAACUUGUCCCGACCUUGCCAAGAGCUUUGGUGUUUGAGUUGCCAAACCCAAACUGGUCCUGCCUGUGGUGUGGAUCCUGGAAUUGCCUCUGGAUGUGUGCUGAGCUCUCGCUGCUGUGGACUGUGCGGUCUUAAUUGCUGCAGGGUUCUGUUCUUCUCACUGGAGAAUUGGAAAUAAUGAUUAAUUAGAGUGCAGAGAUGUUUUUGGAAACCUCUCCCUUUUUUCUGUCUUUCUUUUAGUGAUAGAUCUUCUCUUUCUGCUUCUGAAUUUACAGCAAUUCUCAGAUGUCAUUUCACCUGCCCAAAUUCCUCACAGCUCCUGGGGCAGAGAGAAGCUUCUGUUUUGGCCAAGGUUCAGUGGGAAAAUGAUAGUGUCCCGCCUCCUUCAGACAUUGAACUGCUCUUUAUAUCUUAGAGAGUAGACUUAGUUGAUCCUUUUUCAAUAGAAAGUUGCAGGCUGAACUCACCUGAAUUACUAAACCGUGUUUUAGAUAGUUGAGUUUUUUUAAAGGAAAAAAACCGCAAAAAACAGGCUUUCCAUCUGUGGGCUUUAUUGAUAUUGCUCCUUAACUGAGCCACACCUUUAAAGAAUGACAUGGGCGCAUUCUAGAAACAGUGUUCAAUACAUUCUGCACUCCCUUGUGAGACCUUUGGGCUCACGUUUUUCCAUUGCUGAGUUAAUUGCAGGUCCAAGCUGUCAGUGUCCCUUGCAUCUGGUGUUCACUGAUCCGUUUGUGGUGUUCAUUUUCUCUGGGUGCAGAGUUGGCCUUUUUCGGCAGCCAGUGCCCCUCAGGCCUCAAGGCUUGUUUGAACCUUGCAUAAUAUUUUAUGAAGACAUAGGCUGGGGGAGGACUUUGUCUUGUUGCUGCACUAGGAAAUGGAAUGCAGGAGGUUCCUGCAAUAUCCCCCAUGGAAGCUGGAAUGUUUGGGAAUAUCAGUAUAAUGGCUCUCUGUGAUUAAUCUCAGUCUUGGCCAUCUAUAGUGUGGUAGUGCAGGACACGAGAGAGCAGGGGGGUGAGGGACGGGGGUAGGAACAGUGAGGUGUUUCAUGCUGGCAGCUGAGUUUGGUGUCAUUGAUGUUUUCAGAGCUGGAGCAGAUCGAUUUGGUUCUGGUGCACUGGAAUAGGAUCCAAAUCUCAGAAAUGUCUCAGUUUGAGAUAAACUGGGAGGAAAUGUUUUGAAAUUAAUGUGUUUCUUUAUAGAAUGCAGGUUUCAGUCAUUUUUUUAAUAGGCUUUAAAGGAAAAUUUUUUUUGAGAAAAAAUGAAAAGAAUUGUUUAUUUAAUAAGUAGGGUGUAUAUAGGCAAAAUGAAAAAGAAGAAUGAAUAAUAUUAGAUACAUUUUUUUUGUUGUGGAGAAAAUAUCAGUAGAUGUAGAGAAUUUUUUUGCAGAUAUGGUUUGGUUUUUUUGAAGUUGGGGUGUGGUGUAGGUCUUUUUGGGCUGCGGUGUGGGGUGCUCUGGCGGUAGCUUAGUUUUUUGGAUUGGAGUAAAGUUGAAUGGUUUUAGAUGAAGAAGUUAGUUUUGGGAAAAAUUUUUGGUUCAGAUAAUAAAUGAGAGUGUUAGCGUUCAGGAACACACAUAAUCACGGAAUAUGAUUAUAUGCAGGUGCUUUUGUUGAAGAGCUCUGGGAAUCAGGGGUACAGACCCAAAUCUGACUCCGACAUGGCUUUUGAGCUGAACGUAUUUUAUAUUCUAUUGUUAUAUAACUUACAUAUUAAUUAUUAAACUUAUAUUGUUCUAUUGUA